rnacentral:rRNA from 1 species
AAUACCAAGGCGCUUGAGAGAACGAUGUUGAAGGAACUCGGCAAAAUACCUCCGUAAGUUCGCGAGAAGGAGGCCCGGGUUCAAGGCAACUUGGAUCCGGGGGCACAAACCAGGGGGUGGCGACUGUUUAUUAAAAACACAGGGCUCUGCGAAGUCGCAAGACGACGUAUAGGGUCUGACGCCUGCCCGGUGCCGGAAGGUUAAUUGAUGGGGUU